rnacentral:rRNA from 1 species
AUACGGAGGGGGCUAGCGUUGUUCGGAAUUACUGGGCGUCAAGCGUACGUAGGCGGACUGAUCAGUUGGGGGUGAAAUCCCAGGGCUUAACCCUGGAACUGCCUUCAAUACUGUCAGUCUUGAGUUUGGGAGAGGUGAGUGGAAUUCCUAGUGUAGAGGUGAAAUUCAUAGAUAUUAGGAGGAACACCAGUGGCGAAGGCGGCUCACUGGCCCAUUACUGACGCUGAGGUACGAAAGCGUGGGGAGCAAACAGGAUUAGAAACCCUAGUAGUCC